UACGGAGGGGGCUAGCGUUGUUCGGAAUUACUGGGCGUAAAGCGCACGUAGGCGGCUUUGUAAGUUAGAGGUGAAAGCCCGGGGCUCAACUCCGGAAUUGCCUUUAAGACUGCAUCGCUAGAAUUGUGGAGAGGUAAGUGGAAUUCCGAGUGUAGAGGUGAAAUUCGUAGAUAUUCGGAAGAACACCAGUGGCGAAGGCGACUUACUGGACACAUAUUGACGCUGAGGUGCGAAAGCGUGCGGAGCAAACAGG
rnacentral:rRNA from 1 species